GAUGGGUGCAGUGGUGCACACCUGUAGUCCCAGCUACUUGGGAGGCUGGGGCAAGAGGAGCACUGGAGUACAUGAGUUCAAGACCAGUCUCAGAAAUAGAGUGAAACCCUGUCCUGU
rnacentral:sRNA from 1 species